UCCGUAGUGAACCUGCGGAGGGAUCAUUGC
rnacentral:rRNA from 1 species